rnacentral:rRNA from 1 species
GAUGAACGCUAGCUACAGGCUUAACACAUGCAAGUCGAGGGACCGGCGCAAGGGUGAGUAACACGUAUCCAAACUGCCCUUUACUAGGGGAUAGCCUUUCGAAAGAAAGAUUAAUACCCGAUGUAAAGUAUGGGGAUGCGUUCCAUUAGGUUGUUGGUGAGGUAACGGCUCACCAAGCCUUCGAUGGAUAGGGGUUCUGAGAGGAAGGUCCCCCACAUUGGACCUGAGACACGGUCCAAACUCCUACGGGAGGCAGCAGUGAGGAAUAUUGGUCAAUGGGCGGUAGCAUGAACCAGCCAAGUAGCGUGAAGGAUGAAGGCUUAUGGGUCGUAAACUUCUUUUAUAUAAGAAUAUGUAUUAUAUGAAUAAGGAUCGGCUAACUCCGUGCCAGCAGCCGCGGUAAUUC